CGACCCCAGGUCAGGCGGGGCUACCCGCUGAGUUUAAGCAUAUCAAUAAGCGGAGGAAAAGAAACUAACAAGGAUUCCCCUAGUAACGGCGAGCGAACCGGGAAAAGCCCACCAUGAGAAUCGGUCGCCCCCGGCGUCCGA
rnacentral:rRNA from 1 species